UCUUCACAUCACUUCUUCAAUGCUCACAAAAAUACCAAUUUGGGUCGAAAGAACCACAACCAUUCCAAAUGCCAUCAAAUAACAUUGUCUCCCAGUUCCAAAUGCCAUCAAAUAGCAUUUCUCAAUUCCAAAUGACAUCAAGUUUGAACAACAGCACCCAGCAUGGAUAUCUUCUGAGUGAGCUUCCCAAUCUGAUUUCUGAAGAACAAGCAGCAACCACAUCGUCCAUGAACGAGAGCCGUAUCAAUGCAACAAAUUUUCAUGGCG
rnacentral:misc_RNA from 1 species